GAUUUGUACUCAAGAGUGGAGCAAGACCCCACGGAAGAGAGAUUGACGCAUCGGGAGCGAAGAACAGAAACGAUGGAUGGUUACGCUGCUUGGGUCUCGGCACGUUCGAAUUGGCAAAGUUCCGAAUUUGUCGCUGUGCUGUGUACGCUUGUGCGCUCGUCAUUUGCCGUCAUAGCGUGGAGAUUUUUGCGCUGGAUGUCUUUCACUUCGUGCACAAAACUCUGCACGCUGCGGCAUCGAAGAAGUUGUCCUGUGUUUGGGUGCACGUAUGCGCUUGGACACGGAUAGCCUGCUCGCUCUCAACGGGUGUUCAACAGUCUACGCGCGCUCGUAACUUUCUCAUGAGGCAAGUUGCUGCUGUGCUGGAGCUGAGAAGAGGUCUGCUGCCUGCAAUGGGUCCAUCUCUCUCAAGUUAUUGCAGUAUUGUAGCUCACAAGGUUCAAAAAAAGUAUGGUGGAAGCUGUUGCCAAGGUUCCGACCAGAAAAGACAGCCAGUAUAAAAGGGUCCACGCCACUGAUCUCUACUACAAGGGAUGAACAGCACAUCAAGCGCCCUCGACUAAAGCCGGCCUUGUCCCGGAAGUUGGUGCUUCACAACUUUGCGGCACCACUUUGUUGCACGGCCCGUGGAGACAAGGUUUCUUAGACAUGGCCAUGGCUCUCAAGGAAGAUGCCGAGGCCACAGGCAGUUCCUCCAGUGACCGUGAAAAGGUCCCCUGGGGCAUAAGUCUGGUUUGGCACCCCCACAUUUCUCCUGCAGCUUUUCUGUCUACUUCGCUAACCAACAGCAAGUUUAUCCUUGCAAGCGUUUGGAGUCAAGAACAACUUUCACCAGGAAGAAGUGCAAGACGAAUGAUUGAAGAAAAUAAAGUUGCUUCUGUGAUCUACGAACUUGAGGACUGAAA
rnacentral:lncRNA from 1 species